rnacentral:rRNA from 1 species
GAUGAGCGCUGGCGGUAUGCCUAACACAUGCAAGUCGUACGCCUCACUUCGGUGAGGAGUGGCGGACGGGUGAGUAACACGUUAGUACCUGCCCCAAAGUGGGGAAUAACUGCCCGAAAGGGUAGCUAAUACCCCAUAGUCUCCGGUUUAUCCGGAGUAAAGAUUUAUCGCUUUGGGAGGGGCUUGCGUUUGAUUAGCUAGUUGGUGAGGGUAAUGGCCCACCAAGGCGACGAUCAAUAGCUGGAUCGAGAGGUUGACCAGCCACACUGGGACUGAGAUACGGCCCAGACUCCUACGGGAGGCAGCAGUGAGGAAUCUUCCACAAUGGGCGAAAGCCUGAUGGAGCAAUACCGCGUGCAGGAUGAAGCUUUUCGGAGUGUAAACUGCUUUUCUGAAGGAAGAUUAUGACGGUACUUCAGGAAUAAGGAUCGGCUAACUACGUGCCAGCAGCCGACGGUAAAAGUCACGUCG